GUUCUCUUGUCAUGACUAUGCAGAUUCCUAUACAGUCUUCACCCGACACUUCUCAUAGAGUCCCUUGGGAUUCGAGCAAUUUCAAUGGGAGCAUGGAUAACAUUACCUCAGACUUGCCAAAUGAGACCUGGAAAGGAUACUCGAAGGUAUUCAAUUUCUUCGGGCAGCCCAACGACGACCCAGAUCUUAUCCUCAUAAUGAUAUUCCUUCUCGGGGCAGCACUGCUGAUCGUAAGCACCCUCGUCUUUUUUACCUGGAGGUCCUUUGUAGAGACAGAGGGAAACAAACAAGAAUACUACACUCAUAACCACGAUUUCCAAGAGACCCCAGUGUCCAGCCCUUCUCCAGCCUCGUUAUACCAAAGUGAUCCCAUGGAUUGGUCACAGUCGGAAGAUUCCCAAGUUGCCCAAGACGAGAUCCAAAGGGAAACAAAUGGGAUAUCGACCAUUAAUGGCUUCAUGUACCCAGAAUAUGGUGCUUCUGUUCAGCCCAGUGUGACCCCUCCACCUGCUUAUGACGAGCUGGAUUUCCCUCAUGAGGGUAUUCCCCCUGUUUAGGAGGAAGACAUGGUGGUUUCUGACCCAUGGUGGUUUCUGACCCAUGGUGGUUCUGACCCCUACUCAGUCAAAUAAUUGGACUGUGAGAAA